GUACCGGUGGCGCAGUGGUCAGCACCGCUGCCUCACAGCAAGAAGGUUGCGAGUUUGAAACUGGCCUGGGGCC